rnacentral:lncRNA from 1 species
GCCCAAGUCGUCCUCAAGUCGGCCUCCCCAGGCCCAGCUCCGGCCUCUCGGCGGCCGCUCCAGGUGCAAAAGUUCCUCGAGUCAGCCUCUCCAGGCCCAGCUCCUCCUGCCUCCCAGCGGCCUCUUUCGGCCCAGCCCAGCUCAUGCCUCCCGGCGGCCUUCCCGGCCUCCUGCCUCCCGAAGGCCUGCACAGGCCCAGCCUCAGCCUCACAGCGGACUCUCCACUCGAAAGCUCCUGCCUUUCGGCCGCUUUGGCAGGCCCAGCUCCUGCCUGCCAGUGGCCUCUUUAGGCCCAGCUCAUUCCUCACAACGGCCUUUCCAGGCCCCGUUUUUCCCUUCCGGCAGCCUUUUGGCCUCUAAUUUGUUUAUCUUUUGUGUAUAAAUCCCAAAAUAUGGAAUUUUGGAAUAUUGCUACCAUUAUAUAAAUAUUUUCGUAUGUAAUUUAUUUGGAGUGAGUUUCUGCACCAAGCCUGAAUUUUUUAUUUUAUUUUCCUUAUUAUUUGGUGUUAAACAGGUUUAAUGACGGUCAUGGCAACUUUUUGGCACAAUGAAAAAUACCACCCA